rnacentral:rRNA from 1 species
UACGGAGGAUCCACGCGUUAUCCGGAAUCAUUGGGUUUAAAGGGUCCGUAGGCGGUCUAAUAAGUCAGUGGUGAAAUCCUUCCGCUUAACGGGAGAACGGCCAUUGAUACUGUUAGACUUGAAUUAUUAGGAAGUAACUAGAAUAUGUAGUGUAGCGGUGAAAUGCUUAGAGAUUACAUGGAAUACCAAUUGCGAAGGCAGGUUACUACUAAUUGAUUGACGCUGAUGGACGAAAGCGUGGGUAGCGAACAGG